rnacentral:rRNA from 1 species
AGCAGCCGCGGUAAUUCCAGCUCCAAUAGCGUAUAUUAGAGUUGUUGCAGUUAAAAAGCUCGUAGCUGAAUUUCGGGAUUAGCAGGUCGGUCGUGCCACUGGUACGUACUGGUCUUGCUGAUUCCUCCCUCUUGACGAGCCGUAAUGCCAUUAAUUUGGUGUUGCGGGGAAUCAGGACUGUUACUUUGAAAAAUUAGAGUGUUUAAAGCAGGCAUGCGCUUGAAUACAUUAGCAUGGAAUAAUGAAAUAGGACGUUCGAUCUUAUUUGUUGGUUUCUAGGAUUGACGUAAUGAUUAAUAGGGAUAGUUGGGGUCAUUAGUAUUCAAUUGUCAGAGGUGAAAUUCUUGGAUUUAUUGAAGACUAACUACUGCGAAAGCAUUUGCCAAGGAUGUUUUC